UAGAGUUUGAUUCUGGCUCAGGACGAACGCUGGCGGCGUGCUUAACACAUGCAAGUCGAGCGGUAAGGCCCUUUCGGGGGUACACGAGCGGCGAACGGGUGAGUAACACGUGGGUGACCUGCCUUUAGCUCUGGGAUAAGCCUGGGAAACUGGGUCUAAUACCGGAUAUGACUCCAUAGUGCAUGCUUGUGGGGUGGAAAGCCUUGUGCGGCUAGGGAUGGGCCCGCGGCCUAUCAGCUUGUUGGUGGGGUGAUGGCCUACCAAGGCGACGACGGGUAGCCGGCCUGAGAGGGCGACCGGCCACACUGGGACUGAGACACGGCCCAGACUCCUACGGGAGGCAGCAGUGGGGAAUCUUGCGCAAUGGGCGAAAGCCUGACGCAGCGACGCCGCGUGAGGGAUGACGGCCUUCGGGUUGUAAACCUCUUUCAGCCCUGACGAAGCGAGAGUGACGGUAGGGGCAGAAGAAGCACCGGCCAACUACGUGCCAGCAGCCGCGGUAAUACGUAGGGUGCAAGCGUUGUCCGGAAUUAUUGGGCGUAAAGAGCUCGUAGGCGGUCUGUCGCGUCGGCUGUGAAAACUCGGGGCUCAACCCCGAGCUUGCAGUCGAUACGGGCAGGCUGGAGUUCGGCAGGGGAGACUGGAAUUCCUGGUGUAGCGGUGAAAUGCGCAGAUAUCAGGAGGAACACCGGUGGCGAAGGCGGGUCUCUGGGCCGAUACUGACGCUGAGGAGCGAAAGCGUGGGGAGCGAACAGGAUUAGAUACCCUGGUAGUCCACGCCGUAAACGUUGGGCGCUAGGUGUGGGAUCCCUUCCACGGGUUCCGUGCCGCAGCUAACGCAUUAAGCGCCCCGCCUGGGGAGUACGGCCGCAAGGCUAAAACUCAAAUGAAUUGACGGGG
rnacentral:rRNA from 1 species